AUGAACCAUGACGACCAAGGCAAGGCGGGCGCCAGCGCGCACAAUGUCCUUGCUUCCUCUUUGGUGCUAAGGAGGCAAGCGCAGGCGAGGAGUACCGAGGCAUCAGGCAAAGAUUUUCAUAUCGGUGCAACGAAACGAAGACCAGCAGGACGGCAAGACAGAGGUCAUCGUGGAGCCCAAGCCGGCGUCACCACCAGAGCCUUUGGCAGGCGAAGACCACCUUUAGUCAGGAUAUCUUGUACUAGUUUGUCCCCUUUCAAAUCGGCCGUUGGGGCAUCCCUUCCCGCUCAAUAUUUGGGAAGAGGACCAAGGCCUCUAUAA
rnacentral:rRNA from 1 species